rnacentral:rRNA from 1 species
GAUGAACGCUGGCGGCGUGCCUAAUACAUGCCAGUCGAGCGAACAGACGAGGAGCUUGCUUCUCUGACGUUAGCGGCGGACGGGUGAGUAACACGUGGAUAACCUACCUAUAAGACUGGGAUAACUUCGGGAAACCGGAGCUAAUACCGGAUAAUAUAUUGAACCGCAUGGUUCAAUAGUGAAAGACGGUCUUGCUGUCACUUAUAGAUGGAUCCGCGCUGCAUUAGCUAGUUGGUAAGGUAACGGCUUACCAAGGCGACGAUGCGUAGCCGACCUGAGAGGGUGAUCGGCCACACUGGAACUGAGACACGGUCCAGACUCCUACGGGAGGCAGCAGUAGGGAAUCUUCCGCAAUGGGCGAAAGCCUGACGGAGCAACGCCGCGUGAGUGAUGAAGGUCUUCGGAUCGUAAAACUCUGUUAUUAGGGAAGAACAAAUGUGUAAGUAACUAUGCACAUCUUGACGGUACCUAAUCAGAAAGCCACGGCUAACUACGUG